UAAAAUGGAGGGCAGAAUAUUUGCAAAACAAUAUGGUAAUAUUUCAACACUUUUCGAUCUUUUUGAGUAUUUGAACCGUUCGCCAUCUGAAUUUCGCAACAAGACGAAAAUUCAGACAUCAGUUAUGUCGCUGAGUUCAUCAAAUGUUUUUGUGCCAAUUGAAUUGAACUGAUUGCUGCACUCGGAAUUGAGUUAAAAAUUCGAUAUUGACAAUGAGCGGACGAAAAAGAAAAGGAGUUGGUGCUAUAUGUGGAUCGAGACCGAAAAGACGUAAAGUGGGCAAACUUCCAGAAGAAAGUGGAUUGUUAGCCAUAAAGGUAUCCGCCGCAACGGCAGUCAAAGAGGAAUAUCACGAUAUUGUGCUGCCAUGGAUUGCGAAGAAGAGUAUCGAGUGUACAAAAAUCUGUGAGCUGGCGUCGCUUUUGUUUUUACACAAAGUGAAACUUGCCAAUGAAGAGGCCAUUUUGACGAACAACUGGAAAUUUUUCGAUGAAGGUGAUGGUAUCCACAUAAUUGAAGGAUGCUUCUUUGCUGUGUUGCGCAAAUAUAAAGAAGAGAACGACAU